rnacentral:lncRNA from 1 species
AGCCAGGGUUCCACCCAGCAUUUGCCUCCCUGGCAAUGAAUUUAUACUCUACUCUGUCUCCUGGUCCAGCCUGACCCCUGGACAAAGCAGAUGCAGGUGGGAUGUAGAGAGCACGGAAGUGGUCUGCAGCACAAAGGGCUCCUUGCCUGUGGGAGGCAGCCAGUGAGCUGACCCUUGAGAGACACCAUAUGAACAUGUGACCUUGGAGAGGAACCCCACACAACCCCAAGGAAGGUUGUCCUCAAACUCUCAAGGCUGAACUUGAACUCUGAUCCCCUGCCUUUACUUCCUGAGUUGCUGUGGUUACAGAUGAACUGAGUUUGGUUGUUAGAGCCUAGCUGGGACAGUUUUUAACUCCAGGAGAUGUGACACCUGCUUCUGAGCUCUGUAAGUACCUGCCCAUGCAUGGCAUUAUCCCCCACCCCCCCCUCACACACACACAGACAC